GAUGAACGCUAGCGGCAGGCUUAAUACAUGCAAGUCGUGGGGCAGCAGGCCUGUAGCAAUACAGUUGCUGGCGACGGGCAAGCGGGUGAGGAACACGUAAGCAACUUACCCUGAACUGGGGGCUAGCCCGGGGAAACCCGGAUUAAUACUCCGUAAUAUUAUGGAGUGGCGUCGCUUUAUUAUUAAAGCUCCGGCGGUUCGGGAUGGGCGUGCGGCUGAUUAGGUAGUUGGUUGAGGUAACGGCACGCCAAGACUACGAUCAGUAACUCGUGUGAGAGCACGACCAGUCACAGGGGCACUGGCACACGUGCGCCACUCCUACGGCAGGCAGCAGUAAGGAAGAUUGCGGAAGGGAGUAUAGUCUGACCCAGCGAUGCCUGGUGGAGGAUGAAGGCGCUCGGGGUUGUGAACUUCUUUUAGUGGGGACGAAUCCUGUGUAUUCUUGCGCAGGUGACGGUACUCUAUGAAGAAGCACCGGCUAACUCCGUG
rnacentral:rRNA from 1 species